AUGGAAAAGAAAGAAAUGAAAGAACAGCACAGAGACAAAAGAGAAAAGGAGCUAAAAAUAUCAGUAUUGCCAGUUGUUCAACAGAGGCUGGUGAGAGGCUUCCUCUUAUUGGCUCUUUAAAAACCAGGGCAACGGAGAAAUCAAUCAUCACCAUUCAGGCUGGGAAAAGAAAGCAUGCUCAGUCUCUCAUCUCUACUGCCCUUCAGAACAACUUCAUGGCACCCUGGGAAGGUUCCUCCAACUCUGAGUCCUCUUUUAUCAGCAUUCUUUCCCCUCCAUCUCCUCGACCACCUCCACCGAUCAUGUCAUCUGAGAUUUUUCCAAAUCCACCACAGGCUAUUCGAGACACACACUCCGAGAGUGAACAAAGUGUUCAUGUGAAGCGACGACUCCUCCCUUUGAGAAGACCCUCUAGACCCCAGCGCUUUCCUCCAUUACGCCAAGUUACCAAUCUCAG